rnacentral:lncRNA from 1 species
UUUCUCCUCCCACCCCUCAUGAGAAGCCUGAGGGGAUUUUUCUCUAAGAUUUACAGGGAGAACAUCAUCAAGCUCCUGUAGGUAAAUCCCACUCUGUGACAGGGUCCCCUUGAUGUUUUUAUAUCUCAGGCUUGUCUACACUGAGCUUUUAGUAAUUUAUAAAUUACAGCCAGGUUUUCCUACCCCAACACUGAUUCCUGCAGCAGUUUCUACUUGUGAGUCUGCUGGGGGAGAAAUCAACUGUCUGUCUUUUAGAGAACUCAGCAAUUAGCCCUGAGCUAACUGCUGCCAAUCCUCCUCUUUUUGUUGAGGAAGACUAGCCCUGAGCUAACAUCCAUGCCCAUCUUCCUCUACUUUCUAUGUGAGACGGCUACCACAGCAUGGUGUGCCAAGAGGUGCCAUGUCCUCAGCUGGGAUCUGAACCUGCGAAGCUUGGGCCACCAAAGCGGAAUGUGCGAACUUAACUGCUGCGCCACCGGGCGGGCCCCCGGGCUUCUUUUCUUUAACAUUACAUUUAAUAAGAUUUAUCCAUGUCACUGGAUGUAACUAGAAUUUAUUCAAGUUUAUCCAUUACUCUAAUUCACUCCAAUCAGUCUUUUUC